CGAUUGAAUUCUUCCAAGGAAGCAAUUCCACCAAAACAGAGAAAUUGUAUGCAGGGACCAGCUUGUGCUUACAGUGGCAGCAGCACUGUUGUAAAGCCAAUGAGAGGGAACAGUUUGUAGUAGUUGUAAAAAAGAAGCUCUUCAAAUAUAAUAUACUGAGUGGCAAUUCCACUCAAUUGCACUUGUUAAUUCGAUUCUUGCUGAGCAUUAUUGAUCGGAUUUGAGACAUUCACUUGAGCAUAAGAUUUGCAGAGUACUCAUGGACUCUGAAAUCCUGUUAUAUUCAUGAGUGGAACAACUCAAUUGAAGUGAUUCACUUAAAAGUUUCUUACCCUGGUCCCUAAGUUACAAGCAACUGAAGCUAUUGGAAUUUUCUAGUUUCAACAAAGUUCCUUACAAGUAUAUUCUUGCUUCAAUUUUCAACCUGUUUCUUUUCCAUUCUGAUUUUGGAACCAGGUUUUCAGUUUUUUGGUGUCAUGUCUUAGAUCAGUCACAUGUAUGAGGAGCAUCGACUGCUUGUUGCUCAAUCAUGUGGAGAGCUUGCAGAAUUUGUACGGCCUGAGAUUCGGGAUUCUCUUAAUUUAUCUAUUGUGCAGCAAUUCUGCUGUUGUUGUUCGAGAGGCUGCGGCUUGUAAUCUGGCUAUGCUGCUUCCACUUUUCCCAGACAUGGAUAAAUAUUUCAAGGUGGAGGAGUUGAUGUUUCAAUUGGUAUGUGACCCAUUAGGAGUGGUGGUGGAAACUUCUCUCAAGGAAUUGGUUCCAGCGUUGUCCUCCUCUUUCUGGGGUUGAAGGGUCUGCAGAAUCACAUCUCUGUGUCCUGGGUGAAAGAGAGUGCUGGAAUAUAGAUAUUCUUUUAAGAAUGCUGGUGGAAUUGCUUCCUUGGGUAGACCA